AACGAACGCUGGCGGCAGGCUUAACACAUGCAAGUCGAACGCCCCGCAAGGGGAGUGGCAGACGGGUGAGUAACGCGUGGGAACAUACCCUUUCCUGCGGAAUAGCUCCGGGAAACUGGAAUUAAUACCGCAUACGCCCUACGGGGGAAAGAUUUAUCGGGGAAGGAUUGGCCCGCGUUGGAUUAGCUAGUUGGUGGGGUAAAGGCCUACCAAGGCGACGAUCCAUAGCUGGUCUGAGAGGAUGAUCAGCCACAUUGGGACUGAGACACGGCCCAAACUCCUACGGGAGGCAGCAGUGGGGAAUAUUGGACAAUGGGCGCAAGCCUGAUCCAGCCAUGCCGCGUGAGUGAUGAAGGCCUUAGGGUUGUAAAGCUCUUUCACCGGAGAAGAUAAUGACGG
rnacentral:rRNA from 1 species